rnacentral:rRNA from 1 species
GACAGGGGAUGCAAGCGUUACUCGGAAUUACUGGGCGUAAAGCGUCUGCAGGUGUCCUACUAAGUCUGGUGUUAAAUCCCGAAGCUCAACUUCGGGCUCGUGCCGGAAACUAUUAGGAUCGAGUCAUAGAGAGGUAACUGGAAUGUCGUGUGUAGGGGUAAAAUCCGUAGAUCCACGAUGGAACGCCAAAAGCGAAGGCAGGUUACUGGCUAUGUACUGACACUCAGAGACGAAAGCGUGGGGAGCAAAG